rnacentral:rRNA from 1 species
CCUACGGGAGGCAGCAGUGGGGAAUAUUGCACAAUGGGGGAAACCCUGAUGCAGCGACGCCGCGUGAGUGAAGAAGUAUUUCGGUAUGUAAAGCUCUAUCAGCAGGGAAGAAAAUGACGGUACCUGAUUAAGAAGCCCCGGCUAACUACGUGCCAGCAGCCGUGGUAAUACGUAGGGGGCAAGCGUUAUCCGGAUUUACUGGGUGGAAAGGUAGCGUAGACGGCAGCACAAGUCUGGAGUGAAAUGCCGGGGCUCAACCCCGGAACUGCUGUGGAAACUGUGCAGCUAGAGUGCAGGAGAGGUAAGUGGAAUUCCUAGUGUAGCGGUGAAAUGCGGAGAUAUUAGGAGGAACACCAGGGGCGAAGGCAGCUUACUGGACUGUAACUGACGUUGAGGCUCGAAAGCGUGGGGAGCAAACAGGAUUAGAUACCCGGGUAGUC